GGCGGGGUGCCAGAGCGGUCGAAUGGGGCGGUCUUGAAAACCGUUGAGGGCAACCCCCUCCGUGGGUUCGAAUCCCACCCCCGCCG
rnacentral:tRNA from 1 species